AGGAAAUAUUUUAAUACUACUUAAGUUCCUUCAUACAGGCACUAAUAUUCAAAGUAGCAAGCAACUCGAGGAGAUCAUUCCUAGUAUGUCGCUGCUUAAUUGGUUAUCAUUAUGGUAUGUUUUUAGUUUUUCCGUUACAUAUACAUCUUCUUAUGCAUAUUUGUUAAUUAUAAAUGCGAAUUAGCAACAGAACUGUGUGCUGCCAACAACGUAGGACUUCAUAACCUAGGAUACUGUGUUAAAGAGUUCUACGUACUGAUGCCAUGUAUUUAGGGCUUCACAACUAGAAAUCCAGAGAAAACGAAACUACAGAAAAAUAGAAAUUAAGUGUACCUUGGAUAUUUAGCUCCAAGUAUGUCUUUCUGGCCAUACUUUCUCCAGCUAAAGCCAUCAUCAAGAGGCCCUUCUAGCCCCAUCCCUGGGCUAACUCGCACUUGUUGUGUCCACCUUGGCGUUCCCUUCCUGCAGAAUUAACCGAAAUUUAGAUACAAACCCAGCCAAAGUUAGUAUGUAAAAACACUAAUGAGAUAUCAUGUAUGUGUAUGCCUCUUCCUAGACCCAUCUUUAGGGUCGUGGUCCUUGAAGUCCCGGUCAGAGUCUUCACUCCGGGGACUUCCACUUAGAGAAGGCGGCGACUCAUGAGACAUGGCGACCGAUCCUGUGGGAUUUGGCUCUCUUAUUGAGCUGCUCAAAUUUAGCGUCGAAAGUGCCUUUUCAUAGGAAGCUAUGAUCUUCUGGACCAACAUUUCACGGGUUUCUCGGGAAGAAGAUGGCACGUUGAGAUGGAUUUGGAGCUGCCUUGCUAGCUCUCUCCCUAGCGUUAGCUCGUUUAGAAGAUUCUUUUGCUCCCAAUCUCCCAAGUUCUCCAUGUAUAAAUUAAAUAUCACCCAGAAAGGGCUACACCAAUGAUUUGAUCAAGUAAUGAAGGCUGACUGUUUCUGUAAAGCUUGUGAAAUAUAGUGUACGGAAUUUCUAGCUCAUGUAAUCACGAGAACACAGAAAAAGGAAGAGAUCAUAUUAUGAUAUGAAAUAGCAAGUAUAUGAUGAGAUCAUAUUAUGAUAUGAAAUAGCAAGUAUAUGAUGAGAUCAUAUUAUGAUAUGAAAUAGCAAGUAUAUGAU
rnacentral:misc_RNA from 1 species